GUGCCAGCAGCCGCGGUAAUACGUAGGGGGCAAGCGUUGUCCGGAAUUAUUGGGCGUAAAGGGCGCGCAGGCGGUUUCCUAAGUCUGAUGUGAAGGGCCACGGCUCAACCGUGGAAUGGCAUUGGAAACUGGGGAACUUAAGUACAGGAGAGGAGAGCGGAAUUCCACGUGUAGCGGUGAAAUGCGUAGAGAUGUGGAGGAACACCAGUGGCGAAGGCGGCUCUCUGGCCUGUAACUGACGCUGAGGCGCGAAAGCGUGGGGAGCGAACAGG
rnacentral:rRNA from 1 species